rnacentral:lncRNA from 1 species
NNGAUUUUACUUAUCAGGACUUGAGAUACUCCCCUUUCAUAUGGCAGGAAUGUUUAGGCAAAUUUGGGAAGAUAUUUCAGAAUAUUAUCAUGUGGGGUCCUUACGGGAUGUUCUUAAAAAAUUGUUCAGAAUGGAAUAUUACUGCUUGUGAUUUAUCUUCUACAUACAGAAUCCCGCCGAAAGAGAGAUGGAAUGAAACCAUUCGGAAUGACAAAUUGAUGGCCUGGGGUGAUGGCAGAAUUGCUGAUCCAUGCUUGGCUUCAGUGCAGUACCCUCAUCAUUUACAAACACAUUUAUGGAAAAUUGCUGCUGCAACGAAACCUGUAAUUUUGUCUAAUGGCUCUUUCUCUGGGACUAGUCAAUCUGCUGCUUCUUAUAAUUUUACUGUAUUUAAAGAAUAUAAUAUAACCACAUGUGUGCCCAUGCCAUACCUGUUCUUAAUUGGAAAUGUUACUUUUGAUGAGGGAAUUUUAUGCUUUAAUUGUAAAUUGUAUACCUAUAUUAAUACAUCUGUUUCUAUUCCUCCUGGUUAUUCCAUUGUGCUGUUACAACAGCGCUCUCACAUUUGGCUUCCUGUAAAUUUACAAAGAACAUGGUCCCAAGAUCCUGUAAAUACUUUGGUUCUGGAAUUUUUUAGACAAUUGUUAAAACGUACUAAACGUUUUGUAGGAGUUGUUGUUGCUGUAAUUCUAAGUCUUAUUGCAGUGACUACAGUCGCUACAGUUUCAGGGAUAGCUUUACAUACUUCUUUACAAACAAAACAUUUUGUUGAGGAAUGGCAUAAAGAUUCGCAUGAGUUAUGGCUAUCCCAGACUCAAAUUGAUUCUAGACUUCAAACUCAAAUAGAUAUUUUAAGACAGACAGUUAAUUGGUUAGGAAAAAAGAUACUCACCUUAGAACAAGAAAUUGGAUUAAAAUGUGACUGGAUGGGGCUGGGGAUGUGGCUCAAGCGGUAGCACGCUCACCUGGCAUGCGUGCGGCCCGGGUUCGAUCCUCAGCACCACAUACAAACAACGAUGUUGUGUCUGCCGAAAAACUAAAAAAUAAAUAUUAAAAUUCUCUCUCUCUUUAAAAAAAAUUAAAAAAAAAAGUGACUGGAAUUCAACUUCUUUCUGUAUAACUAAUAUACAAUAUAAUCAAAGCUUACACGAAUGGAAUAUCAUACAAAAUUAUCUCAAUGGUAAUGAAACAGCUCAAUUAAUGAUCGAUUCUUUACAAAAGGAUAUAUUUGAAAUU